rnacentral:lncRNA from 1 species
UUUAAAAGUGUCAGUUCGCCACAAUUCAAUCCAAGACAUGUACUAUUUUUAAAUUAAAUUAAAUGCUCUGCCAGUCUCAUGACACAUCUUUCUUUGCACACCAUAUUUUUCAUUUCCUGUUGCUUUCCUUUUCUCUUUCUUUUGCUUUCCCAUUCUUUCCCCGAAUUUUCUUCUCUUCACCUUUCGCAGGGGUUUUCUCUAUUGUCCUCAGUACUUGACUGUUCACAUGGCCGGAAUCAAGUUGCCGUCGGAGGAUGUAGAAACCAAACCGCCUUCUCUAGAGUUCUUUCCCUAUCGAUAAUCUCACACCCACUAAAUGGGUUUUGUAUAGCUGAUGGUCUGUGAUUUCAGCAUCGUUUCUCCUUAACCUUUCACAUAAGCUCUACGAAAGCGCAAAACUGCUGCUCUCGAGGUUUUAUUUUAUAUUUGCUUUUCUUUCCGUUACAAUUUUGCUUGAUAUGGUAAUAUCUAAAUUUUUAAUUAUACGUUUUGUUUUAUUUUUUUUCUUUUGGGUUGAUUGGAUCUAGGUAGAAGGGAUACUGAAUCAAUUGCCGCAACUGGAGAUCAUGAUAUAAUUAUUGCAGGGAUGUAGCAAUUUGUUUGAUUUAGUGUAAUUUUUAUGUUACAAAGCCAGUGUUGGAAGCUAGGGGCAAAAGUAGAGUUUGAAUGAUGAGAAAAACAAAAUUAUAUUGGCUUGAAAUUUUUUUAUGUGUACUUAAGAUUUUGAAUGGUGAAUAGUUGAUUAUAUAUUAUUGUUGUAAAUAAAUAUUAAUUGUUGAAUUCGGAUUAUUGAUCAAGAUUUUGUCUUUCACUGCUUGGUUUUAAUUUAUAUAAAUGCAUUUAAAGAACUUAAAUUUUUCAAAAUUGUUUCUUUAUUAUAUUGAGCAUAAUCUGGAAAUGAUAGUGAAAAUGAUUAUAGAUCAUUUGAACUUCUAUCUUCAAAUUAAGCAUCACUUUGUAGUUAUUCUUAAGGUAGAAUCAUAUUCUGCUUGACACUAACGUGUAACUAAUUUCUAGAAUAUAUUGAACUAAGCGUAGACAUUCAUUUCAUUGUGUUGGCCAAGUAUGUCUUAGAACACAAAUUUACCUACUUAGCCCAUGUUUGACCCCCAUUACCUAAAAAUGAAAAUGGGGGAAAUAGUAUUUUUUUUUAAAAAAAAUGAGUGAUUGAAAAAGAAGGAAAAGUUUUCGAUUUACGUGUAAUAUUAUUUUAUGGAAGAUUGUGUGGUUGAAAGUAGAAGAGAGAAAAAAUAGAAUGUAAUGUAAUUGAAUUUAAUGGGGAUCAAAUAGGGGUUUAAUCUUGUAGUCGAGUUUGUUUUAUUGUUUACUAGGGUUGAAGGAUUUUUCGAAGGGUGUUUGAUUCUUCCUCAUUCAUGAUGACAAAGACGAGAUCAAAAUUCGAGGAAUUGGAAUACUUGGGUAAAUUAUUAGUCUUCAUAUCUUUGGUUUUAGAAAUAGUGCCCUACAUUGUCAAUCUUUUCCUUCUAAUGUUUGUGAAUAUAUCUUGCUCUCUAUGUAUUGAUGCGGUGAGAUAUUUAGGGUUUUGAGAUUCAAGAUUGGUGACUGAUGGAAUCAGGGAUGGAUCAGUACGAGAUCAUGGAGAAAAUUGGUCAAGAAGCUUUUGGGGCAGCCAUUUUUUUCAAUCACAAGCUGGAAAGAAAAAAAGUAUAUCAUAUGAAAUUAUAUUAGUUCCAUUCAUUUUCGUAUGAUUUUGCAAAAACUGUUUUGAAAAGUUCGCAAAAAUGUAACAGUUUUUUCCCCUUAUUCUUGAAAUGAAAAAUAGGUACAUGCUUAAGAAGAUUUGGUUGGCUCGACGAAUAGAAUGUUAUAGAAGAUAUGCUCAUCUAGAGUUAUAGUGAUGUAAUUUUACCUUUUAUAAUUUAUUUAUUUUUUUGUUGUAUUAUUUAAGUUUCAUGACUAAGAAUUUGUUUUGUGUACUAAUUUGUUUGUUAGAUUAGAUUGGAAAUCUUGAUUCUUUAUUGAGUAAUUUGCUUUAGUAACCUCAAUAUUGGUG